UGCAACUCGUCAUGUAUUUAUACAAACAAGAGGAACCCAAGACAUAUGUUGGGGAAAAACGAUACAAAAGGAUGGUCAGAAUGGAUAUUGACCUUUCACCAUCUUCGUGUCAUCUUCUUCUUUAGGGUCAUAGUCUAAACCUAGUCUAAGAAUUGUAACUAAGUACAUACAAUGGAAAGAAACAAACAUACAUGUCAAAACAAUCAAAAGCACAACAUAAAGCCAAGAUUGAUCAAUCAAAAGAAACAAGGUUCAAAAUUAGGCAAGUUUGUGCCUCGGGGUUGGCUUUUGCAAUUUAUGCAUAGAUCUCUUUAGACACCUACCCAAUUCAUUUUAAGACUUACAGCCAUUAUUGACCAAUUGUAUUUUCGCAUGGCUAAUAACACUCGUAAGUCCUUCAUAAGGCGUUCUAUGUGAUUCCCAGGAUAUACCCUUGAUAUCAUGCAUCACUUCUAACAUACAUCUAGAAGUCACAUACAUGAGCAAGAAUUAAACACAUAGGCAGGUCUUUUGGAUCUUAUUUUUUAAUCGAUUAGAUAAGGAAGUGAACCGUCGAUGGGUCACUUAUUACCAAGGGUAUAUGCUAAUUACAAACACAGGUGUUUCUAAUGAAUGACGUGAUUAUAUGCAUGAUGGUACAUAUGAUAUUUCAAAGAUAGAUUUAAAAUCACCAAUAAAGUUUUAGAGAUAAAGUAAUGUCUCAAUUAUAAAAGGCAUUCAAUUUUCAAGACUAGCCCAUAACUCAUAUAAAUGCACUCACAAGUAUUGCAAACAUUUUGAAUACAAUCCAAAUCAUGACUUUCACAAUGCCAAAUCAAGAUUUAAAGGGAUUUGAGAAUAUUUUAGAUUAAGGAAUAUCUAGACCAUGGAACACAUUCAAUUACCAAGGCUAGAUUGAAGCUCGCAUAAAUGCAAUCACAGGUAUUGCAGACAUUUUGAAUAUGAUCCAAACCCUAAUUUUUCCUAACAAAUGAAGCUUUUUUUUUUUAAAAAGAAUUUCUAAAAUGUUGCUUUUGGAAACAUCACAUGUACCAAAGUGAUUUCAAGAUGAAAUUUGAAAGGCUAAUUCAUUGAAAAUUGUUUAGCAAUGAAGCUUAAAAGAUUUGAAACAACUCUCAUGAACGUGACAUGUUCUAAAAAAUUCUAAGUAAGCAACCGCAACCAAAGGUUCAUAACAGGGAUUUUUAGACCAAGCAUAACAAAUCGGCAAACUUGGGUAAUACCAUUGACAAUCUAUCUAUAAUAAUUUUUUUUUGACAUGCAUGACAUGAUAACAAACAACUUCCGUGUAGAAAAUUUUCCUAAACGAGUUAAGUAUGAUUUUAUAAAAAUCAAACAAUAAGCUGUGCAUCAGGAAAUUGUCAAGACAGCAGGACACUUAGUCAGUACUAUCAAAAUUUAACUUACUAGAUGAGGUCUAAAAAUCACAAAAAUUUCACACAACAUAGCCAACAUGAUGAAAAAAAACUUCAUUAAGUGACUAAGUGAGGGAUUUUUACAGAAAAUUGUGGUACAAAAAUGACAAAGGUCUAUCUAAACUGGGGUAAAAAAUAGGGGUCCGAAUUUGACCCCAAAUCCAAAUUUACCCUAUCUUAGGAGAAAUGGAAAAUGGACUUGAUAACAUGCAAUUGACAUGAGAUCAACAGCAUUGAAAAGCUCUAGGUGAGCUUUAUAACUUUCUAGAAAGGCUUGGGUCUAAACAAGGUCAAUUUGAUACUCUAAGAUUGGGGUUUUUAAAAGUGCGCGUAUCAACCAUUAAAAAGACAGAACAUAAGCAUGCAUUAAUAAGCCUCAAAAUCACUCAAGUAAUGCUCAAAUGACAUGAAAAAUCACACACGACUUAGAAUGGAUAUUACAAAUGGAUAGGAGAAUCAUUUAACCCUAAGUCAAUAUGCAAAAAUAUUAUGCGAUUCAAUGUCACUACAAGAUGGUUAAGCUCUUAUAAUGGCAUACUCAAAUGUUUCUAACUACAACAAGCAUACAAGUGAAAUGGCAUUCAAAUAUGAUGAACUAAAUAUGAACACGAAGCUUGUAACAUGUAGUUCCAAUAUCAAGAAGGCGUUGAUGAACUAUAUAUGUUUAAGAGGCCCAAACAUGCACACGAAUGUAUGCACAUGGUAAGGUUGUAAUGAUCCUAUAAUGAGGAUUGAGAACAUGCCAAGUUUUGAUCACUAAGAAAGUGCAUAAAUUCUACCAAAAAGAAGUCAUAUAGAAUGAAUAACAAUGAACAUUUUUCAUUAAGACUCGAAACCAAAUUGUCAUCAUACGAGUUAUGCCAAAAAUAGCAAAACAAAC
rnacentral:lncRNA from 1 species